rnacentral:lncRNA from 1 species
UCAUAAGUAUAUAUCACAUUAAAAUGGAGAUAUUUCCUCAGUUUCACAAGGCUCCCAAGAAAUCUAAGAAUAUAAUUUUACAUAGAUAACUUCGUGCAAUUUAGCCAGAGGAAUUUCACAAGUGAAAAAAGCCUGCAACGGUCAGCUUACAAGAGAAAGACAUCUCAUGGAGCAUUUACAAUCCAGAUAUAGUGGUGACUCCAAUAUCCAGGGGAUGGGCUGAUGCUAAAGUUUGCUUCUUCAAAACCUA